UGGAGGAAAGUAGGGGAUCGCAAGACCUUGCGCUUUUGGAGUGGCCGAUGCCUGAUUAGCUAGUUGGUGGGGUAAUGGCCUACCAAGGCGACGAUCAGUAGUUGGUCUGAGAGGACGACCAGCCACACUGGGACUGAGACACGGCCCAGACUCCUACGGGAGGCAGCAGUGGGGAAUUUUGGACAAUGGGCGAAAGCCUGAUCCAGCAAUGCCGCGUGAGUGAAGAAGGCCUUCGGGUUGUAAAGCUCUUUCAGUCGAGAAGAAAAGGUUGUGACUAAUAAUCACAACUCAUGACGGUAUCGACAGAAGAAGCACCGGCUAACUACGUGCCAGCAGCCGCGGUAAUACGUAGGGUGCGAGCGUUAAUCGGAAUUACUGGGCGUAAAGGGUGCGCAGGCGGCUUUGUAAGUCAGAUGUGA
rnacentral:rRNA from 1 species